rnacentral:rRNA from 1 species
UACGGAAGGCAGCAGUGGGGAAUAUUGCACAAUGGGCGAAAGCCUGAUGCAGCUAUGCCGCGUGUAUGAAGAAGGCCUUAGGGUUGUAAAGUACUUUCAUCGGGGAGGAAAAAACAAAACUAAUAAUUUUAUUUCUUGACGUUACCCGAAAAAGAAGCACCGGCUAACUCCGUGCCAGCAGCCGCGGUAAUACGGAGGGUGCUAGCGUUAAUCAGAAUUACUGGGCGUAAAGAGCACGUAGGUGGUUUUUUUAAGUCAAAUGUGAAAUCCCUGGGCUUAACCUGGAACUGCAUUUUGAAACUGAAAUACUAGAGUAUCGUAGAGGGAGGUAGAAUUCUAGGUGUAGCGGUGAAAUGCGUAGAUAUCUGGAGGAAUACCGUGUGGCGAAAGCGGCCUCCUAAACGAAUACUGACACUGAGGGUGCGAAAGCGUGGGGAGCAAACAGGGAUUAGAUACC